CCAAUAGCGUAUAUUAAAGUUGUUGCAGUUAAAAAGCUCGUAGUUGAAUUUCGGGAUUAGUACGUUGGUCGUGCCUUAGGUACGUACUGGUUUUACUGGUUCCUACCUUCUGACGAACCAUCAUGUCAUUAAUUUGGUGUGGCGGGGAAUCAGGACUGUUACUUUGAAAAAAUUAGAGUGUUUAAAGCAGGCUCGGGCUUGAAUCCAUUAGCAUGGAAUAAUGAAAUAGGACGUUGAUCCUAUUUUGUUGGUUUCUAGGAUUGACGUAAUGAUUAAUAGGGAUAGUUGGGGGCAUUAGUAUUCAAUUGUCAGAGGUGAAAUUCUUGGAUUUAUUGAAGACUAACUACUGCGAAAGCAUUUGCCAAGGAUGUUUUCAUUAAUCAAGAACGAAAGUUAGGGGAUCGAAGACGAUCAGAUACCGUCGUAGUCUUAACCAUAAACUAUGCCGACUAGGGAUCGGAUGAUGUUAAUUUUUUAAUGACUCAUUCGGCGCCUUACG
rnacentral:rRNA from 1 species